GAUGAACGCUAGCGGGAGGCUUAACACAUGCAAGUCGAGGGGCAGCAUAGGGUAGCAAUACUCUGAUGGCGACCGGCAAACGGGUGAGUAACGCGUAUGCAACCUACCCUGUACAGGGGGAUAACCCGGAGAAAUUCGGACUAAUAUCCCGUAAUAAUAUCCGGAGGCAUCUUUGGAUAUUUAAAGUUCCGACGGUACGGGAUGGGCAUGCGUAACAUUAGCUGGUUGGUAAGGUAACGGCUUACCAAGGCUAUGAUGUUUAGGGGUCCUGAGAGGGUGGUCCCCCACACUGGUACUGAGACACGGACCAGACUCCUACGGGAGGCAGCAGUGAGGAAUAUUGGUCAAUGGGCGCAAGCCUGAACCAGCCAUCCCGCGUGCAGGAAGACGGCCCUAUGGGUUGUAAACUGCUUUUCCAGGGAGAGAAACUUACGCACGUGUUGCGUGACUGACGGUACCUGGGAAUAAGCAUCGGCUAACUCCGUGCCAGCAGCCGACGGUAAACACGGAGAGUA
rnacentral:rRNA from 1 species